rnacentral:rRNA from 1 species
UACGUAGGGGGCAAGCGUUGUCCGGAAUCAUUGGGCGUAAAGCGCGUGUAGGCGGCUGGGUAAGUCCGCUCUGAAAGCCCGGGGCUCAACCCCGGGGGGCGGGUGGAUACUGCUCAGCUCGAGUCCGGAAGAGGAGUGUGGAAUUCCUGGUGUAGCGGUGAAAUGCGCAGAUAUCAGGAGGAACACCAAUGGCGAAGGCAGCACUCUGGGACGGUACUGACGCUGAGACGCGAAAGCGUGGGGAGCAAACAGG